UACGGAGGGUGCGAGCGUUACUCGGAAUUACUGGGCGUAAAGGGCGUGUAGGCGGUUUGGUAAGUUUGGUGUGAAAUCCCGAGGCUCAACUUCGGAACAGCAUUGAAUACUGCCAGACUAGAGUGUUGGAGAGGUGGGUGGAAUUCCAGGUGUAGAGGUGAAAUUCGUAGAUAUCUGGAGGAACAUCAGAGGCGAAGGCGGCCCACUGGACAACAACUGACGCUGAGGCGCGAAAGCGUGGGGAGCAAACAGG
rnacentral:rRNA from 1 species